rnacentral:rRNA from 1 species
GAUGAACGCUAGCUACAGGCUUAACACAUGCAAGUCGAGGGGAAACGACAUCGAAAGCUUGCUUUUGAUGGGCGUCGACCGGCGCACGGGUGAGUAACGCGUAUCCAACCUGCCCACCACUUGGGGAUAACCUUGCGAAAGUAAGACUAAUACCCAAUGAUAUCUCUAGAAGACAUCUGAAAGAGAUUAAAGAUUUAUCGGUGAUGGAUGGGGAUGCGUCUGAUUAGCUUGUUGGCGGGGUAACGGCCCACCAAGGCAACGAUCAGUAGGGGUUCUGAGAGGAAGGUCCCCCACAUUGGAACUGAGACACGGUCCAAACUCCUACGGGAGGCAGCAGUGAAGAAUAUUGGUCAAUGGACGAGAGUCUGAACCAGCCAAGUAGCGUGCAGGAAGACGGCCCUAUGGGUUGUAAACUGCUUUUAUAAGGGAAUAAAGUGAGAGUCGUGACUCUUUUUGCAUGUACCUUAUGAAUAAGGACCGGCUAAUUCCGUGCCAGCAGCCGCGGUAA